CAUUCAUUUGACCUAAAAUAGUACAUUUUUCAUGUAUUGUGCAUGCAAAUUCUGGGAGAGGGAAUGUCCUGAUGACCAAGUAUGCUGCCUGGCUGUACACGCAUUCAUACUUUUCAGAGCCUUGCUAAGAGUGAAAAUGUUAAACCUGGACAAGUUAGAGAGAUGUCUAGAGACUUGUAAUUUCCACAUUUAGAAUUUGGCUACCUGGACUUUUUGCCUGGUAAAGCCAGUCUCUGUGUGUUUAUGUCUUAAUGAAACCCCAACCAGCACCUGAGCAACCAGCAAAUAGCUGACAAUCACAGGGACUUUUCUGUUUGCUUUAGGACUAUUAAAGUUGUGUUAAUACUGUUGAAGGCAAACAUUGCUGCCAUUUGCACAUAUGGGCAUUAUUUUCAAGUCUCUUUGCCUAAACAGCUGAUUGAACUUCCCUGUUUCUGAUUUUUUUUUUUCCUGUUUGCUUUGUUUUACUGAGUUCUCAUCGUAUCUUAAGAGUUGUCAUGUGUGCUGUUUUUUCUGCCUUUUAAUUAUGCUGUCUUGGGUGAUCUGCAGUUCACUUCAGCGAGAGAUUUUGCAUGUCAUCUGUUACCUGCUGAGAAGCAUUGCAAGUGAAGAGCAGCGCAGAGCCCUGGCUGUUCUAGCUCUUGGAAUCAAGUGUUUAUAUAAGAUUGUCAUCUUCCAUGUUAAAGAAAAAAAAAAGGUUUCUCUCAUGGCUAAAGAGGAAGUUAUAACGAGCUUCUGCAUGCAAUAAGUUGCAGAGAAGACAGCAAAGAAAAGGUUACAGCUUGCUGCAUUCAUGACUGCAUUUUACAUACACGGAUCCAGUUAGUUAUUUGGAAGCAUUUCUAAGUAGUUUGUGUCAGAUGAAAAGACCAAGGAUGACAUGCUUCAGCUCCAAGCAGAAACCAUUCAGGCAACACAGAGAAAUGUGAUCAGCAAGCAGAGAGGCAUGUUGCCUGGCCAUGCAGUAUUCACAGGGAGCUAAACCAAUAAAUAAAUUGCUAGAGCUUGGAACUUCAUCUUUGUGUGUGGGAAAGUUGGGAGGUGACCUCACAUCACUUCAGAAACUAGAUAUAUGACCUCCUUAGCAACAAACAUUAUCUGAAUCACGGAACCAUUCGGGUUGGAAGGGACUUUGGGAGGUCUCCAGUCCAAUCUCCUGCUCAAAACACUGUCAGGCAUGAAAUCACAUCAAAUUGUUCAGGGCUUUACGCAGUCAGGUCUUGAAAAUAUCUAAGGACAGAGAAUGCACAGUCUUUCUUGGCAACCUGUUCCUCUGAGGUGCCCUCAUGGGGAAGAAGUUCUUCCUGACAUCAAUCAGAACUGCCUCUUUCAGUUCAUGUCCUGUGUCUCUCACCCUCCUGCUGUGCACCACUGUGAAGAGCCCAGCUCCAUCUCCUCCAUCCCCCCCCUGCGGGGUACUGGGGGCUGCAGUUAAGUGCCCCUGAAGCUGUCUCUGCUCCAGGCUGGAAGAGCCUUGUCCCCAAAGUUUCUGUUUGCAAGGCAACUGCUCCAGUCACCAGCCAUCUCAGCACCCUCCUCUGAACUCGAUCUCCAGUUUCCCAGUGUCUUUCCUGUAUUAGGGGGCCUAGAAUCAGACACAAUAGUUCUGCUGUGGUAUAACGAGUGCCAAGGAGAGGGUGAUAAUCCCUGCCCUCCAUCUGCUGGCUACACUGCUUGCUGUUCAGGCAGCCCAGGGUAUUAUAGGUCUGCUGCUGCAAGGACACAGCAGGCUGGUGCUCAGCUUGCUGCCCACCAGGCCAAUGGGUUUAGUGAGCGGGUCUUUUGUGCACGCACACAGCCACAGUGUGCCCAGGUUUCUGAAUUUUGGCAGUGUUGGUGUAAGCUUCCUCGACGGGCCUCCUUCGGAGAAGGUUUUGAGUCGGAACAAACAGCUGGGUGAAGAUGCUUAAAAAGCUCUUGGUAAGUCGUAAACGGGCUCAGAUGAAGGGAACUGGUUCCUGAGCAGCGUGGCAGAUAGACGAACCUGCCUGCUGGCUAGUUUGUGCUGUUUCCUUUCCCUGAGAGAUAAAUUAGUUGCUGUUUCUUAAGUGUAACUAACACGGCAUUCUUCACAGCCUCUUUCUCACUGGGGCCUGGGACUUGUUUUGGGUUUUUGAGUGUUAACAGCAUUCAAACAUUGCAUAAUAUUAAGUAGCUACUUAUAGCAAGGAUUUUUUUUUGUCAUUGUGCUUGCUGGGAUAAAUAGCAUUUCUUUGUGCAGUCAAAGUCCACAGUGCUGCACUCCCACACUUGUCCUGCUCGUGAGCUGACACAUGCAAAGCUUUGCUAGCCUAGCUUUAGGUGGCAGCGCUGCCCUUUUUGUUUCAACGGGCUGCACUCCCUCCCUCAGGAGAAGUUAAAUGUGGGCAAAAAUGCUCACAGCAUCCGAGUCCUGUAUGGUCACAUAUACGCGUGCGUAUUUUUAUAUUUCUAUACACAGCUGUAAGGGAUUAUAGCAGCCUAACAGCGAUCUGUCUCUUCUUCCCCCAGUAGCAUGUUAUUCUAUUACGUCCAGUUAGCACUGAGCAAAUUAUUCACAAAGAAUAAUUUAUCACAGAUGUGCAGCUGCUUUAUCUGCUCGGGGAAUGUCUUAAAACAGACCACGAUUAUUUUUUUUUCUCCCCUUUGCUAACUAUUCAGCAGUCACAAAUGCUUUAACACGUCGUUAACUGAGGACAGAUCAGUAAAUUGUAAUCUGCAGGGAUCAUUUCUGCAGGACUUGAUGCCAUCUCUCAGCUUGUUUAAUCAAAGUAUAAUAGAGCCUGGAUUUGAGGU